UGAAUUCUGUGUCAGUAGGGCAAUGGCUGC
rnacentral:piRNA from 1 species